rnacentral:rRNA from 1 species
GACGAACGCUGGCGGCGUGCUUAACACAUGCAAGUCGAACGGAAAGGCCCUGCUUUUGUGGGGUGCUCGAGUGGCGAACGGGUGAGUAACACGUGAGUAACCUGCCCUUGACUUUGGGAUAACUUCAGGAAACUGGGGCUAAUACCGGAUAGGAGCUCCUGCUGCAUGGUGGGGGUUGGAAAGUUUCGGCGGUUGGGGAUGGACUCGCGGCUUAUCAGCUUGUUGGUGGGGUAGUGGCUUACCAAGGCUUUGACGGGUAGCCGGCCUGAGAGGGUGACCGGCCACAUUGGGACUGAGAUACGGCCCAGACUCCUACGGGAGGCAGCAGUGGAGAAUAUUGCACAGUGGGCGGAAGCCUGAUGCGACAGCGCCGCGUGCGGGAUGACGGCCUUCGGGUUGUAAACCGCUUUCGCCUGUGACGAAGCGUGAGUGACGGUAAUGGGUAAAGAAGCACCGGCUAACUACGUG